rnacentral:miRNA from 1 species
GUGUGUGUGUGUGUGUGUGUGUCUGUGUCUGUGUGUGUAUGUACGUAUGUAUGUACGUACAUACAUACAUACACACCCACACCCACAC